UUUUUUUUUUAUGUUUUUAAUUUGUAGGGAUAGAUAAACAUCUUCUUUUUCUCAUCUAAUCUCUUCAAGUCAAAUAUCAAAAUAAAGAUCGAGAAUGAAAACCUAUUUCUCCAAUUUCAUAGUCUUCAUUUACAGAUUUUUCAUUAUUUAUUUUUUUCUUCUCUGAUUGUUUUUGUUUGGAUCUAAUAUUUGGAAUUGAGGGUUUCAGAUUUCAUUGGUUUUUCGGAACAACCCAGAUGAUUUUUAAGGUUGAUUUUUGUUAAUGUUACCUUGUGAAGGUUGUUGAUCAGAUGUGUAUAAAAGUUUAAUUACUGAUUUUUUAUAAUUAUUUUGUUUGGAUCUGAUUUUGUGAAUCAAGGGUUUCAUAUUUCAUUGAUUUUUUGGCUCAACCCAGAUGAUGCAAAUGUUUGAUUGAUGUUAAUCUCUCUAUAACUUAUGUUACUAGAAGAGAGAAGCAUCACACAAAUGUUCAAGUUCAGGUUCAUGGUCAAGAUCUCUACAAUUCAAAACAAGUGAGGGAUACACAAAUCGCACGUAUACUUGGAAAGGCACCGACUAUUGCUGCCGCGGCUCAUAUGUCAGGAUUUGGUCAUCGUGUAUGCUAGAACUGUAUGACCCUCGUGCUAAAGUCAUAAGAACUCUUGCAGAUGAAGUCUUUUUUAUUGUUGGAAGAGAUCCACUCAUUGAGAUUCCUCGAUGUAAAAAGCCGCAGUUCGAAUAACCUACUGAGGCAAGACUACUUCGAAUUGCUUAUAUGGGAUUUUUUCUCUAUAGAAAAGAGUGCCAAUAACCUUUGUGAGUCGUGCAACUAUUUCAAGUCUGGAUGUUCUUACACCGAAAGUCUUCACUGGGUUACUCGCUGGAGCCGAAAAGUCAAAGACAAAACUAGGUGGAUCAGUUCUUGAUCUUGAUUGUGCUCUUUAGGUCAUGCGUGUUUGAUGCCAAUGCUGGAAUUACUUGAAAUGAUAACUUUGUCUAUGCUCGCGUUAAAUGCUCACAAAGUGUUGGCUUUGAGUUUUGCUUGGUUAAAUUUCGUAAUGAAUAAAACAAUUUUUUGGUUGUAUCAUAAUGAAUAGACCUUUGUUCUUGUGUUUCCGGCUUCGGCAAUGUAUGUGUGAGUGUUGAAAUGUAUACCGCAGGCCCGUGUUUCAGGAUAAAUUGCAGGCCUGUAAACUGGAAGCCCAGGUCCGUUAUAAUGGAUCUGGAUUAUCCAUUUUUCUUAACUGUAAAUUAAAGAACUGUCACGUAAAUAAUCGUUACAAAAAGUGUUAG